GAUGAACGCUGGCGGCGUGCCUAAUACAUGCAAGUCGAGCGACCGGAUGAUGAGCUUGUUCCUCUGCCGUUAGCGACUGACGGGUGAGUAAGAAGUGGAUAACCUACCUCUUAGUCUUGGGUGAUUACGGGAAACAGGAUCCACUACCGGAUCAUAUGUUCAACGGCAUGGUUCAAUAGUUCAUGGCGGUUUUCGUGUCUCAAUUAGCUGAUUUCGGGCCGCAUUAGCUAGUUGGUAAGGUAACGGCUUACCAAGGCGACGAUGCGUAGCCGACCUGAGAGGGUGAUCAGCCACACUGGGACUGAGACACGGUCCAGACUCCUACGGGAGGCAGCAGUAGGGAAUCUUGCGCAAUGGGCGAAAGCCUGACGCAGCAAUGCCGCGUGAGUGAUGAAGGUCUUCGGAUCGUAAAGCUCUGUUAUUAGGGAAGAACAAAUGUGUAAGUAACUAUGCACGUCUUGACGGUACCUAAUCAGAAAGCCACGGCUAACUACGUG
rnacentral:rRNA from 1 species